rnacentral:rRNA from 1 species
UCCCGGGAACGUAUUCACCGCGCCGUGGCUGAUGCGCGAUUACUAGCGAAUCCAGCUUCACGGAGUCGAGUUGCAGACUCCGAUCCGAACUGAGAGUGGUUUUGGAGAUUAGCAUCCUGUCGCCAGGUAGCUGCCCUUUGUACCACCCAUUGUAACACGUGUGUCGCCCCGGACGUAAGGGCCGUGCUGAUUUGACGUCAUCCCCACCUUCCUCGCAUCUUACGAUGGCAGUCUCACUAGAGUCCUCAGCAUGACCUGUUAGUAACUAAUGAUGAGGGUUGCGCUCGUUAUGGCACUUAAGCCGACAUCUCACGACACGAGCUGACGACA